rnacentral:tRNA from 1 species
GGGAUGUAGCAUAACGGUAAUGCAUGCCGCUUAGUCGGCUUGAUGAAGGUUCGACUCCCUCCAUCCCCA